rnacentral:rRNA from 1 species
AAGUCAGUCAGAGUAGACCCGAAACCGGGUGAUCUAUCCAUGUCCAGGUUGAAGUUGCCGUAAAAGGCAAUGGAGGACCGAACCCACAUCCGUUGAAAAGGGUGGGGAUGAGGUGUGGAUAGGGGAGAAAUUCCAAUCGAACCCGGAGAUAGCUGGUUCUCCUCGAAAUAGCUUUAGGGCUAGCCUCGAUAGAGUCUUGCGGAGGUAGAGCACUGAAUUUCCUAGGGGGCGUCAAAGCUUACCGAAGAAUAUCAAACUCCGAAUGCCGUGUAGAUGCUUAUCGGGAGUCAGACUAUACGAGAUAAGUUGGAUAGUCAAAAGGGAAAGAGCCCAGACCUCCAGCUAAGGUCCCAAAGUACGUGUUAAGUGGAAAAGGAUGUGGGAUUUCGAAGACAACCAGGAUGUUGGCUCAGAAGCAGCCAUACAUUCAAAGAGUGCGUAAUAGCUCACUGGUCGAGAGGUCCUGCGCCGAAAAUGUCCGGGGCUGAAACACGACACCGAAGCUGAGGAAUGUCUAGAGACAUUGGUAGAGGAGCAUUGGAUACGCAACGAAGCAGUACCGGAAGGAGCUGUGGAGUGUAUCGAAGAGAGAAUGCCGGAAUGAGUAGCGAGAGAGAGGUGGGAAUCCUCUCGGCCGAAUAUCUAAGGUUUCCAGGGUAAAGCUGAUCUGCCCUGGGUAAGUCGGGGCCUAAGGCGAGGACGAGAGUCGUAGCCGAUGGACAACAGGUUGAGAUUCCUGUACUGCAGUAAGACAGAACUGUGGGGACACGUGUGGAGAGCAUAGGCGCGGAAUGGAAAGCCGCGUGCAAGCGGGGUAGGAGUCCUGUAGGAAAAACCGCAGGGCAAUCCGAAGGCGUGAUGCGGACCGAAAUCUAGUAGGGAAGUAUGUGAGCCAUGCGUCAAGAAAAGCCGCUAUUGUUCUUAUUGUACCCGUACCGUAAACCGACACAGGUGGAUGAGGAGAGAAUCCUAAGGCCGACGGAAGAAGCAUUGUUAAGGAACUCGGCAAAAUGACCCCGUAACUUCGGGAGAAGGGGUGCCACAGAAAUGUGGCCGCAGAGAAUAGGCUCAAGCAACUGUUUAGCAAAAACACAGGUCUAUGCAAAACCGAAAGGUGAGGUAUAUGGGCUGACGCCUGCCCGGUGCUGGAAGGUUAAGAGGAGAGGUUAGCGCAAGCGAAGCUUUGAAUUGAAGCCCCAGUAAACGGCGGCCGUAACUAUAACGGUCCUAAGGUAGCGAAAUUCCUUGUCGGGUAAGUUCCGACCCGCACGAAAGGCGUAAUGAUUUGAGCGCUGUCUCGACAAUGUAUCCGGUGAAAUUGAAGUACCAGUGAAGAUGCUGGUUACCUGCGCCAGGACGGAAAGACCCCAUGGAGCUUUACUCCAGCUUGAUACUGGGAUUCGGUAUUGCAUGUACAGGAUAGGUGGGAGGCUGAGAAUCGGUAACGCCAGUUGCCGAGGAGCC